rnacentral:rRNA from 1 species
UAUCUCUGUAGAGUCUGCAUAUCAAUAAGCGGAGGAAAAGAAACUAACAAGGAUUCCCCUAGUAACGGCGAGUGAAGCGGGAAGAGCUCAAAUUUGAAAUCUUAAAGGGUUUCCCUUUACGAAUUGUAGUUUAAAGAAGUGUUUUCUGUUGAGGUUUUGGUAAAAGUUCUUUGGAAUAGGACAUCAUAGAGGGUGAGAAUCCCGUAUUUGACCUUUACUUUCAACUUUGUGAUACACUUUCAAAGAGUCGGAUUGUUUGGGAAUGCAGUCCAAAAUGGGUGGUAAAUUUCAUCUAAAGCUAAAUAUUGGCGAGAGACCGAUAGCGAACAAGUACCGUGAGGGAAAGAUGAAAAGAACCUUGAAAAGAGAGUUAAACAGUACGUGAAAUUGUCAAAAGGGAAGCGUUUGACACCAGUGUUGUUUUUCUGAAAAUCAAUUAAAGAACUGUUUAUGCUAAGUUGUUUAGACUUUAUCAGCUAACUGUUUAGUUUUGAGCUUUUCUUUAAUGCACUUUUCAGUUAACAAGUCAACAGCAAUUUCUUUUGCUGUAAAAAAGCUUGAGGAAGGUGGCUUGAGAUUCGUCUUAAGUGUUUAUAGCCUCUUGCCUAUGCAGUCGGAGAGAUUGAGGUCUGCAGCGUAGAUCCUUCGGGGCUAAAUGCAUUUGUGCUAAGUUAUAGCAUUUUCAUAGACAACUUGUUGACUAUGAUCAGUCAUGUAGCUUACUCGCUUAUGCUAUUUUACCUACGCUUAGGAUGUUGACGAUCAGCUGAGCGCG